AUAGCUAACAAAGACAGGUAAACAUUACACAUUAAUUGAUGUUCAUUCUUGCAUGAAUUACUGUUCCUGCAUGUAAAUUAAAUGUUGUCAGAUUAUUGAACAGGAGCAUGAAUUUUAUGUUGUAUAAAUGUUUCUUUGUGUUUUCCCUCAUUACAAAACACCUAUUGAGCCAACUGUCCUUAUAUUAUCUGUUAGUGGGCUAUGUAUAAUAUGGUUAGGUAAAUAUCUUCAAAAAAGCUCUUCAUGACUUUCACAACAUAGAUCUUUAGUCAUGACUUUCACAACAUAGAUCUUUAGUCAUCCAUGCCACUAUUAUUUCACUUGAGGUGCUCUUACUACAGUUGAUAAAUAAAUUUUCCUUGGAUUAGUUAUGCUGUAAAAUCAGAAAAUUUUUGCAAAGUUUUAUAAUUGCAAAUAUGAAAACUUACAUUUCAGAUUUUGAAAGCAUUAUUUUUAUACAGCAUCUUCUGAAAUCGUAAUAGUAAAUUUUUCAUUUUGUCCAUAGUCAGUAAACACAACGAUGCAUGCUGCUGCUGCUGCUGCUGCUCACAAAAUUCUGAAUUUUCGGUUUACUUACGUUUUCAAUGUUGUUUUAAAAAGGGAAACGGCUUGAAAUAUUUUUUUCUUUUUGCCCAGGACAAAAUUUCUUAUUUCAAAGUUAUUACACCAUAAAGGAAUCAGUUAUUAUUCCAAAUGUAUAAAAAUUAUUGCCAGUCUAUUUAAUAGUUUCUGUUGAAUUUACAGAAAGAAAAAGACAUAUUAGGAUACCAUGGUAACAUGACUUUCAACGUAACUUCUGAUAUUUUAUUUCAGAGUGCAUUAUUUGACAUACUGACAACGUCUAAUGAUAAAGCAGAUUAUAUCCAUAUUGGAUACAUAUUUUAGGGGAAAAAAUUAUAACUCACAUUUAACUUGGAAAAAAGUACAGUUAUUUUCAAUUUAAGAUUUCCAAUGCAUAAAAAUUUCCAUAUCCUCAUUUUGCAAUCAUUACCUUUGGUAUAUGGAUUCGGUUUAAUUCAUCUUAAAAUAACAGAGAGGGAGUCAAAAUGAGAAAAAAUGUAAAUUAAUCUUUUGUCAGUAUGUCUUUCUAAACCUUUGUUUAUGUUGUUUGUAGAACUGUGUAUAAUGUAAACAUAUAUUUUGUAGAAAACUAUUGUUAUUCAUUCUCUUUUAUUUACUCUUUCAAAUUUCAGGUUUUUAUUUCAGAAAAUUGAUUUUUCUAUUUUCUAUCUGUAAAUAUGUUGGUACUGACUACUCAUUUGCUUUUUACUUAUGAAAUAGAUCUUCAAUAGUUUCUUUUUUCUUUACUUCAUAAAACAUAUUCUAUUGUUUUGUUUAUUUUGCUCAUUUUAAGAUAUACUAUUCUAGAGAAACAAUAACUAAAUUCACCAAACUUGUAAUUUAUUUGUAAAUAGAAGAUCAUCACAUUUUAAUUUCAGUACCAAGUUUGGUUUUAAUUUGAUCUGGUUAGGUGGUAUUUAUUUUUUUGGAGGGGGGGGGGGGGGUUAAUAUGCUUUGGCACAUCCAAAAUUUUUAUUUGUAUAAAAUCAUAUCACAGAGAUAUUUUGUGUUUUAUUUCUUCCUAAAUCAUAUGAGUUACGAAAUUUCAUACCAAUAGUAAAUUCUUCAUUCAUGUGUAUUUCUAUUAUGGACAUUGCAUUGUAGUUUAUAAUUAAACAAAUGGCUUAAAAUUAAAAAAAAAAAUCUAAGCUAGAAGUUUUAUCUAAAAAAUCAAUUCACUAUGAAAAUAUAUUUAAACGAUUGAGAUGGAAUCUAAAAAAUCUUUACAAAAUGCAACAGUCACAAAAAGCAUAAAAAUCAUGAAGUUACUCACUGCUUAAAUCAUUUAUAUUUAUCUGCCCUAAACUGCAUUGAAAUUAUAAACUAAUAUGUAUUUAUUACCUAUACUAUGAUUAAUUGAGAUACUCUAAUACAUGUUCAAUAUAUCCCUUUUUCAAAAGAUUUGUUUUGGAAAUUUAAAGAACCUGAGCAACUUAACAAAUUCUUGUAAAUUAACAGAAAGGGAUUAAUAGUAUGAUAUUUGUUGAUUUUAUUAUGUUAAUUCUUGAGUGCAUUAUAGCUUAUUUUUUGUUUCUCUUCAGAUGGUUACAAUGGAAGUCAAAACUUAUGUAUAUUCUAUGGCAAAUUCGUUCACGAAAGCAACUGGAAACAGAAAAUUCUGGUUCCCCAAGACCAGCAAAGCCACCACCAACAGGAACUGUUUGAAAAACAAUUAUAUAUUGUAUAAGAUACCACCGUUUAAGUUCCUUUCUGUUAUUUGUAUUUUGUAUUUUUGGCACAACACCAAUUUGUCACACAAAUCUGGAAAGAAGAUCCUAUCAAAUACUUUCAUUAAAAUGAUAUUUUGAUUGAAACAUUUGUAAUAACUAUAUAUAUAUUUUUAUAAAACUCUUUAAAUAAUCCUGUUUCUUUCACAUAUCAUACCGAAACGUUUAAUUUGGAUUUUCAAAAUUUAAAAUUUCUAUUGAACUUUCUUUUAUUCAAAUAACAAAAUUGCUGUAUAACUAGACAAUUAAAACUGGUAAUGAUAAGACAAAUUCAAUGGACACGUUGCUGUCAAUGAUUAUGGAUCAAAGAAUAUUUGUAAAUUCAAAAGAUUUACCCUUUUCCUAUCACUAAUUUUAAAAUCAAACAUUCCUGCUUUUUAUAACGAAGAUUUUGCUUUAUUGAGGAGGGGUCAGAUAUUUAAGAACAAUUCCUUGUAUGUAACUGCUUUGUAUUUAAAACUCAGUUAUUCAUUAUUGUUAUGAAGAUUGUCACAUAUAAAUGACCUAUAUGAAUGUGUGCAUUUGAAGUAUGUAUGUUAAAAAUUGGGCAACCAUGAUUUUAUUGCAUGGAUCAUCAUUUUAGUAUUGGUGAUGGAUGAUUAUUAUUUCCAGAAUUAAAAGGAAGUGUUAUUAAGUUUUUAUCAACAUAUAUAAAAUUUUUGUUUU
rnacentral:lncRNA from 1 species